rnacentral:rRNA from 1 species
UAUGAAAUUUUAUAAAGCAAUUCCUGCUCCAUGAACCUAAAUAGCCGCAGAUUUAAAACUGUGCUAAGGUAGCAUAAUCAUUUGUCUUCUAAUUAAAGAAUAGUAUGAACGGAAAAACGAAUUUAAAACUAUUCCAACAAUUCAAAUUGAAAUUACUCAAAAGUAAAAAUGCUUUUACAACAAAAAAAGACGACAAGACCCUGAUGAACUUUACUAAAGUUAAGCUGGGGUGGCCUUUUAAAAAUAUCUUAUUAUAAACCCAUUUACCCUAGAUUUAUUUUAAGUUACCACAGGGAUAACAGCGUAAUUUAAAUUUUAAGCUCUUAUUUAAAUUUAAGAUUAUGACCUCGAUGUUGAAUUAAACUUCUUCUAUAAGAAAAAGAAUUGAAAGAAAGUCUGUUCGACUUUUACUAUUUACAUGAUUUGAGUUCAGACCGGUGUAAACCAGGUCGGUUUCUAUCUUUUUUAAAAAUUUACCAGUACGAAAGGACCCUAUCUUUUUUCA